UACAGAGGUGGCAAGCGUUGUUCGGAAUUACUGGGCGUAAAGGGCGCGUAGGCGGUCCGAUAAGUCCCGUGUGAAAUCCCUCGGCUCAACUGAGGAAUGGCACGGGAAACUGCCGGGCUUGAGUUCGGGAGAGGGAAGCGGAAUUCCGGGUGUAGCGGUGAAAUGCGUAGAUAUCUGGAGGAAUACCGGUGGCGAAGGCGGCAUCCUGGACCGAGAUUGACACUGAUGAGCGAAGGCUAGGGGAGCAAACGGG
rnacentral:rRNA from 1 species